rnacentral:lncRNA from 1 species
AUUUAAUACCACUUUAUCGGCAAAUAUCGCGGUAGAAUUUCCCUUUCUUUUCUUUAUAUACGUCAAUUUGUAGCAAAGGAUACACCUUUCGUUAGAUUCUUUGCAUAAAAGUUGCGAAAUUAGGCUUAUAGCGAUAUUUGCUGAUAAAGGCAAAAAGGGUUUCUUGCAGUGAAGUUGAUGGAUCAAAGGUCGGCAUUAUUACGUAAUGAGAAUUUGUAAAUAUAUCGAGUCUACUACAAAUCUUUUCUUAGUUAUAUUAUGAAAUAAAUAUAAAACAUUUAUUAUGUGUGACCCACACAGUUAUAG